rnacentral:lncRNA from 1 species
CUUUUCAACGAUUCCUCUGCCCUGGAUAGAGAGCGGUGUCUCAUAACAGUUUGGAAACUACAAAAGUUUCCCUGGCAGGAUGAAUGAUUGACUCGGCAACAUGUUCUUGCCUUUUGGAGUUGCCCUCCAAUUUUUCCAGGCUUGAUUCUGUAAAUCAUUUCAUCUUGUAAAAAUACUGGGCUGUGAGCACGGAUGAUCUCAAAGAUGAGGAAACAGAAGCUGGGAUAUGUGAGUAAACAUUUCCAAGGUCCUGCAGCUAAUCAAUGGUUGACAACUUCUUUCCUCUGCCUAUGUUGCCAUCCAUGUCAUGGUUUGUGUCAAGACUCUAGGAGAAGUCUACCAUCAGCACCACAGCUACUGUGCACAAAUCCAGAAUGCCAGACUGAAGUCAGAAGGAAAGAGAUGAUGCAGCUCAUUGCUGAUGCUGAGAUCCAACGUCCAGUGCCUGAGUACCCCUGGAUUCUGAGCACUAGGGGCUGGACUGUGGAGACCAUCAGUUCAUAACAUCCUGUCCCUGCUCCCUGCUGUAGAUGACUGAGACCAGAACAAGAUGAACAAAAGAAGGAGGAAAAAUCUUGACCUCCGUAAGAUCCAGGAUGGCACGUGCAAGGCACUGACACAGCAUCUGCCGGCAUCACUGACUCUCCUGGACCCCAGAAGCCCAGUUCCCCAGGCUCUGAAACCCUGCAGCAAUGAAAAGGAAGCACAGGCAAACCAUAAGGAAGAUAAUUUUUCUACUAAAAAAUAAAUAGAAAUGCAUCCUUAGAGGCAGGUUUCAUGAGGACACAGAGAAUCCGGUUUUGUGUGUGCCUGAUUUCGUUUUUCUGUCAAAGAGAUACAAAACAAUCAACUGAGUUAUCUUGAACUUACAAAGAUUAAAAAUAAUCAAUUCCUGUUACUAUUUUCAAUUUUUCCCCCAUUUUACUUCUUUAGGUAUGAAGAAAUGUAGCCUAUUAAAACCUGGAUUAAUAAAAACCUUUCAUUAACUUUUAGAA